AGUGAACGCUGGCGGUAGGCCUAACACAUGCAAGUCGAACGGCAGCACAGUAAGAGCUUGCUCUUACGGGUGGCGAGUGGCGGACGGGUGAGGAAUACAUCGGAAUCUACUUUUUCGUGGGGGAUAACGUAGGGAAACUUACGCUAAUACCGCAUACGACCUACGGGUGAAAGCAGGGGAUCUUCGGACCUUGCGCGAUUGAAUGAGCCGAUGCCGGAUUAGCUAGUUGGCGGGGUAAAGGCCCACCAAGGCGACGAUCCGUAGCUGGUCUGAGAGGAGGAUCAGCGACACUGGAAGUGGGACACGGGCCAGACUCCGACGGGAGGCAGCAGUGGGGAAUAUUGGACAAUGGGCGCAAGCCUGAUCCAGCCAUACCGCGUGGGUGAAGAAGGCCUUCGGGUUGGAAAGCCCUUUUGUUGGGAAAGAAAAGCAGCAGGUUAAUACCCCGCUGUUCUGACGGUACCCAAAGAAUAAGCACCGGCUAACUUCGUG
rnacentral:rRNA from 1 species